GCAAACUUGGUCAUUUAGAGGAAGUAAAAGUCGUAACAAGGUUUCCGUAGGUGAACCUGCGGAAGGAUCAUUACAAAUCCAUCCACGUCUCGCUCCCGAGACCACGUUGAAAUGUUCUGCGUGCAGGCACGCAUGGCGGCGGCGGCAGCAACAACGAGGACACUACUCUCCUCGUGCCGUGCGCACCUGCGUGCCUCUCGCAUAUCUCAACUAGUUAUCUCUUGUUGAACGAGUGUAUUGUCGAGCAUCCUUCUUGACGGAGAGAUGUCUUAACAAAGUACAACUUAUAACAAUGGAUCUCUAGGCUCUUGCAUCGAUGAAGAACGCAGC
rnacentral:misc_RNA from 1 species